AGAAUGGAUUCUACAAAAUCUGUAGAGUGCAAGUUUAGUGAAUAUAAAUGCUGUACCGGAGGAUCCGGUUCGGGCAAAGCAAAGUCGGCUCGAAAAUUUGCAGCAGAACGUGAUUGAGUUCCUGGUAUUUCGAUCUCAUUCGGGCCGGCGAACAAUACACAUACACGGACUACACGCGUCAGCACGUUAUCUGUAUUGUCUGUAUUGUUGCUCCGCACAAUCAAAACAUUCGCGACUUUCAAGGCGAUCAAAACAACCCUAACGUCUCGCGGACUCUUCCGCGUCUUUCCAUUCAGUCUCGGGCCGGCGCCCGACAUAUACACACACACAACGGACUACGUAUGCGGUGCGUCAUCUAUUAUUUCUCGCGAGUGAUUAGUAAUCUAUUUCGCCUUUUGAGAUACUCAAUUAGUCUCUCGUCGGUAUCGCGUUAUUUAACACGUGUAUCUUCGAGUCGUGUACCUUCAAAUCGUGUACUUUCGAAUCGUGUCUCCGCGAGUGUCAGUGCCAGUGCCACGACGGAGCGACCAGGAUAUUGGGACGAGAAGCCAAGAUGACGCAGGAAGCCGAGACAGCGAUACAUCAUAUAUUUUCAAGGUGUGUUAAAUCAUUUAUUAUAUAGCAAGUUUAUAUUUUUAACGGGCGUUUGUCGAACUUACGGAGAAUAAAGAAGUACCCGAGUCGAAAUUUAAGCCGGCAUUCAUAGUUUGUGAUCACUUACAUUUAAUUAUAGCUUCAUUGAUCUCCGAUUAAUUGUCAACUUAUACUUGUAUUUGUUAGAUUAUUUCAUACGAGAAAUAUUGAUCCUACAGCUGAGUUUAUGGUCUAUGAAUACUGAACUUAUUAUUAAUAAUGCUCUCGAUCAAGAAUAGUAAAUAAUUUGUAACUAUGAAUGUCGGCUUUAUGAUAUAAUAUUUGUAAUAUAAAUUUGACAAGUGCUGAUUUUUAUACGUCCAAUAAUGCUUCUUGUGUCGCGAUUUU